GCCAUUGUGGUGUAGUGGUUUAAGAGUUGGACUAUGACUCUAGAGAUCAGGGUUCAAUUCCCUGUUUGGCU